CCCCUCUCAUGAUCACACCUGGAGAGUUUCCAGUCCUCUACCAGUCUCGGCUAUGGGAGGGAGAGUCAAGCAGGGGCCUACCCAUCCCAUGCCUAGCUUGGCCAGUGGCUAGCGAGUGGAAGGCAACCUGCUACAAGU